GUAUAUGUUUAGAGAGAGGAGAGACGGAGCAAAAGCACCGAAAAGAGCCCAGACAGACGCGGGAGAAAAGAAAGCGGGUGAGUCAGGAAGGGAAAGAAAGACAGAAGGAAAGACUGAGUCACAGAGAUAAAGCGCAGGGGGAGCAAGGCAGCGAGACAAGGACGGCUGAGAGCACGAACAGAACCUGGAGACGGGUCCAAUCAUCAGUGUGGACACGCAGUAAAGACAGGCAAAGUCAUGUAUGACAGGACGCACAGGCUGCAGCGAGCGGAGCCGGACGCCUGCGAAGCUGCUGUGAGAAUAAUCCUGCUGAGAUCAAAGCUGCCACAAAUGGACAUGUAUGUAAAGUGCUGGCCGGCCCCGGGCCCCAUUAGCCUCUGCUUUUUGUUUUGCAUCUCCCUGCUCCAGGCGGCGCUCACAGUGUGUGUGGACGCGCCGGUCCUGCUCCGUCCAAACGCUCACAUGAAAUUUCUCCUUUUAAGCAAAGAAAUGUCACAGUGGAGUAAUUUGCGUCUGGUGGGUGAGAUAGUGCAGGAUGCUGCUGACUAGCGGCAGGAACGCGUGUGUGUGUGUGUGUGUGUGUGUGUGUGUGUGUGUGUGUGUGUGUGUGUGUGUGUGUGUGUGUGUGUGUGUGUGUGUGUCUGUGUGUGUGUGUGUGUGUCUGUGUGUGUGUGUGUGCGUGUGUGUGUGCGCGCGCGCGUGUGUGUGUGUGUGUGUGUGUGUGUGUGUGUGUGUGUGUGUGUGUGUGUGUGUGCGUGUGUGAGUGAGAUCAGCAGCUCUUGGUUCAAGUUCACGUCUUUCUCUCCUCUCCUUCGCUCCUCUUGACCUGUUUACGCGUCGACGUGCGGCGCAUGCGCGUGACGCUCCGCCGUAUUCGCAGUCAGUCUGAGAGAAACGCUGGAAAGUACAGGCGAACAGCGACACUUCGCUUCACUUUCAGAGACGCACACGUGCACGCGCCAGCGAUCGGCCACGCAUGCGGACGCAACCAACGUGGACAGAAAAGGACAAACGCUGUGCUGCAGUUGGUGUAGGAUGAGCUGCUCUGAAGCUGCCAACACACGAUGCACCAUUAUCUUCUCUGGGCACCGGGAAAAGGCAUAAAUGGCGACUUACAGUGUGUGGGAACCUACAGGGACGAGGCUGGACCACGCUGAUGCUUCUGGACCACGCUGGAUCCGGUCCAGGCUGCACGGGUUCCGCUGCUGUGGAGCUUUCGGGCUUGGAGGAUGGUGCUCGGUGAAGCUGUGAACCCCUUCAACCUCUUCCUCUUCUCCCCUCUUUCCAGACAUUCGCAGUGGAUGAGACGCGUGAUGCGAAGCACCAGCUGUUGGAAGGAAGCAAGUGAAAAACAGUGUGAGACCAGACAUCAGUAUCCUCCUGAAAUCCCUCCACAAUAACAAACUCUUGAUCAGAGAUCAUUUUCCACAUUGAUUCUCUUCCUUCCUUUCACAUGUCUGAGGUCAGUGCAUGUAUAUGUUGUGCAGCUGCAGACACAUCCUGAACCCUGUGAGCUCCACAGGAACAUCACACAGACCUCGUCCGGUUAAAGUUUAGAAACAAUAAUUAAAUGUGGAUCUCAAAUCUUUGUGCAGCUCUUCUCAGGUCAGUGUCUGAUUUUCUCUGCUGUCAAUAAGACGUCUGACUUCAUCAGGACGCAUGUGAUGUGUUUGUUAUCACGAGUAAUGAGCUGCUCUCAGUUGCUCUGUGCACCUAUAUGUAAUUAUAACAUAAUUGGACAAUGAUUGUUGAGGGACGUCUGCAGCGUCUCCAGGCCUCAGGUCAGCAGUCUUCACUCGUCAGCCGCCCCAGAACGCAGUGAUUCAAUGUCAGUGACUAGUGGAUAAUUCAGUAGCUGUUUUCACUGUGCAGGCGUGAACUUCAAGCCAUUUAAACCCGUGGUUUCGCUAGUUUGUUGUGUUUGUACAUUUCUGUGGUGGAUGUGGACAAACAGCAUGUUCCCUCCACAUCCGCCUUGUUGAGGACUUUCUGUCACAUAGAAGGAAGCUCAUGCACAAUUAAAAAUCUCCACAAGUGGAAGGAACAAAAAAACAGAGUCUGAAGAGUCGGAGAGAAGUCGAGGGGAGAAGCUCAUUUGUGCUUGUUGUCGCCUCUCGGAGAAGCGUCGGGUUGUCAGGAGGUUGAGGGGAGGGGUGAAAGCACUCUGCGGAUGGGGCCUCACCCACGCAUCACCCAUUUACUCCCAUCAGAAGCAGGGGUGGCGACAGCGAGCGCCGGAGUGCUGUCGAGGAGGAAUCCAGAAGAUCUGAGCGCUGGGUGUGUUUGUGUAAGUGGUUGAGGGAGCUGCGAGUCUGACUUUGGCUUGUUGAACACCAGCGCUGCGCUGUUUGCUCUUCCAAAGAGGUGCACGCUGGCAGAAUUACUGCAUAUUGCCUAUGACAGCGAUAACGACUCGCCGCAUAUUGGGAUUAUACUGCUUUGUGAAGUCUUGGCACCCAGUCUAUUAAAUAUGCAUGAAUGUUUGAAAUGAAUUUUGGAGGACCCCCUCCCCUUCGCUGCCCCCUCCUCCUCAUUGUCAAACUAUAUAAUCAUAUUCCUGUCUAUUAAAAUUCGGAUGAAUAAUUUAAAUGUGUGACAACAGCCAGGCUCUAAAAGAGAAGGUUUCUGUUCGGCAGCUGGCAGACAAGGUUGCUUUUGAUGAGCGAUGCAUGCUAAAUUGACAUUGUUGUGGUGGGAAAAAAAAGCAAAGCAAAACAAUAAAAGAAAAAAGCAAUGCACCAAAAAUCUCACCCCAGUGAAAUGUGUGAGCGAGUGACACAGAAACACGUUGGCAGACAUGAAAAAUUCAGCAAGGUUACGCGAAGCGGCGGCGGCAGGUGGAGGCUGCUCCUCGAUCGGUGGUUGUUUGGCGCAGUUUCACUCCAGUCAGACGACUUCAUCGGCCUGACAGCUGUGCAGAACGUAGGCUAGAGUUUAACAAACGCAAACAAACACAGCAUUUGUACCAGGCGCUUUGUACAAAUGGGGCGUGACAGCGACGGCAAAUCAGACAGGAAGCCGUCGACAGCGUCCGGCCGUCUGACACCUGACGGCCGGACAGGAAGUGAAGAAUCAGAGGGAUCCGCCUCCAUGGUCGUUAAAGCGUCUCCUGUAA